UACGGGGGGAGCAAACGUUGUUCGGAAUUACUGGGCGUAAAGGGCGUGUAGGCGGUCCCGUAAGUGGUGUGUGAAAUCCGAUGGCUCAACCAUCGAGCUGCGCUCCAUACUGCAGGACUGAGUACAGCAGAGGAAAGUGGAAUUCCCGGUGUAGCGGUGAAAUGCGUAGAUAGUCGGAGGAACACCGUUGGCGAAGGCGACUUUCUGGGCUGUUACUGACGCUGAAACGCGAAAGUCAGGGGAGCGAACAGG
rnacentral:rRNA from 1 species